rnacentral:rRNA from 1 species
UAUUAAGCGGAGGAAAAGAAACUAACUAGGAUUCCCUCAGUAGCUGCGAGCGAACAGGGAUAAGCCCAGCACCGAAUCCCGCGGCCGACACCGGACGCCGGGAAAUGUGGUGUUUGGGAGGAUUCAUAAUCACGAGGUUUGGUGUUGCGUCCAAGUCCUUCUUGAACGGGGCCACAGCCCAUAGAGGGUGCCAGGCCCGUAGUGACCAAUACCAAUCGCGUGAGAAUCUCUCCUUAGAGUCGGGUUGCUUGAGAGUGCAGCCCUAAGUGGGUGGUAAACUCCAUCUAAGGCUAAAUAUAACCACGAGACCGAUAGCGAACAAGUACCGUGAGGGAAAGUUGAAAAGCACUUUGAAGAGAGAGUUCAAGAGUACGUGAAACCGUUCAGGGGUAAACCUGAGAAACCCGAAAGGUCGAAAGGGGAAAUUCAUUCGUAUCUCGAUAUUGGCAUCAGGUGAUUGCAUGACAAUUGUUAUCUUGUAUAAUGGUUGCAUCCUUUGUUUGAUGAACUGGUGUCGAAUGCGUGCACUUUUCCCCAAGUAGGACGCCGCGAUCCGUUGUGUGUCGGUCUAAGGCCCAUGGUGGAGCCCAUUUGGAUGGCAUUCUGUGUCAUUGUUCCGAAUGGACCCGUGGUGUUUCCCGGCCGACUUGCACGACGGUAUACAGAUGGCGCAGAGCCGCGACUUAAGUUCGCGUUCGGCCCAUGGCAAGCACGCCAUGGUGUGUUGGCGAUCGGACCUAGUGCCGUUCCCGGCCCCUGGUGACUGUUGGCUGUGGUGUUCUCGAACAGACUCUGUAAUAUGAAACGCCGAUCUGCGGCGCUAUAGCUUUGGGUACUUUCAGGACCCGUCUUGAAACACGGACCAAGGAGUCUAGCAUGUGCGCGAGUCAUUGGGAGAUAACUAAACCUAAAGGCGCAAUGAAAGUGAAUGUUUGUCUUGCACAAACAUAGGGAGGAUGGGUGGUUUGCCCAUAAAGUGGCCACUCCGCACUCCCGGGGCGUCUCAUUCUUAUUGCAAGAAGAGGCGCACCAAGAGCGUACACGCUGGGACCCGAAAGAUGGUGAACUAUGCCUGGUCAGGACGAAGUCAGGGGAAACCCUGAUGGAGGUCCGUAGCGAUUCUGACGUGCAAAUCGAUCGUCGGAACUGGGUAUAGGGGCGAAAGACUAAUCGAACCAUCUAGUAGCUGGUUCCCUCCGAAGUUUCCCUCAGGAUAGCUGGCGCUCAUUGCGCACGAGUCUCAUCCGGUAAAGCGAAUGAUUAGAGGCAUUGGGGUCGAAACGACCUCAACCUAUUCUCAAACUUUAAAUGGGUGAGAUCUCCGGCUUGCUUAAAUAUUUGAAGCCGUGAGAUUUCGGAUCAGAGUGCCAAGUGGGCCAUUUUUGGUAAGCAGAACUGGCGCUGUGGGAUGAACCAAACGCUGAGUUAAAGCGCCUAAAUCGACGCUUAUGGGAUACCAUGAAAGGCGUUGGUAACUUAAGACAGCAGGACGGUGGCCAUGGAAGUCGGAAUCCGCCAAGGAGUGUGUAACAACUCACCUGCCGAAGUUACUAGCCCUGAAAAUGGAUGGCGCUGAAGCGUCGUGCUUAUACUCAGCCGUCAGUGGCAUGUGCGGUUCAUUUUUUAUGGGCCAUGAAGCUCUGACGAGUAGGAGGGUCGCGGCGGUGAGCGCUGAAGGGCUGGCCGUGAGGCCGUCUGGAGCCGCCGUCGGUGCAGAUCUUGGUGGUAGUAGCAAAUACUCCAGCGAGGCCCUGGAGGACUGACGUGGAGAAGGGUUUCGUGUGAACAGCCGUUGCACACGAGUCAGUCGAUCCUAAGCCCUAGGCGAAAGCCGAUGUUAAUGUGGUGUAUGUUUAUCAAAACAUGUUUUUCAAUUUUUAUUGAAACAGAAAWUUUUUUAAAUAUGCAACAACAAUAUAUAUAUAAAUAUGUCUUUACACAAAUAAAGAUAUGUGUAUGUGUGUUGAGCAUGUAAAUUUUUUUUGUUAUAGAAAUUUUACAAGAACYUGUGUUAUACACAUAUGAACACACCCAUUGGGCGAAAGGGAAUCCGGUUCCUAUUCCGGAACCCGGUAGCGGAACCGUUUAAAAGUCGGGCCCUCGCAAGAGAGUUCGUCGGGGUAACCCAAAAGGACCCGGAGACGCCGUCGGGAGAUCCGGAAAGAGUUUUCUUUUCUGUAUGAGCGUUCGAGUUCCAUGGAAUCCUCUAGCAGGGAGAUAUGGUUUGGAACGCGAAGAGCACCGCAGUUGCAGCGGUGUCCGGAUCUUCCCCUCGGACCUUGAAAAUCCGGGAGAGGGCCACGUGGAGGUGUCGCACCGGUUCGUACCCAUAUCCGCAGCAG